CGUCAGGACUGCGUGUUCUGGGCACGGACUUGGCUCCUGAGCGGGGAGCGUGUGCUCUGAGUGGAACGGCGCUGCAGGUGUAAAAACUGGGCUAGGCCGGCCUAGGUGAGGAGAGUGAAGAACCGCUUCAGGAGGAGAAUUUAAGGUUUGAGAAAGUCUGAUUCCUGGGAGCACCGUGGGCAACUCAGUGCCUCCUCCUGGGCUCUGAUGUUCUCACCUGUAUCAGUGCAGUGGGAUAAAGACUCAGGUUCUCCAACCCCCAGCACAGUGCCUGUGGUCCAGGUGCCAGGUGUCUGACCUGAGAGGAUGCUCCUCCAUCAUCCUUCCUGGUGAAUGAGAAUGAUCACAAUGGGAAUGAAGCCUAAUGUUAUUCCUCAAACAAUGGGAGCAUCCUGGAGGCCUAGAAAGAUGCAGACAUUUGUUUUUAAUGUAAUGUUAGCAUGGCCAGAGCUCGGUUUCAUAUUUUAUGUCCUACUCGAUCAUUAUCAAUAGCUAAUGUAGUGAAUGCUUUCUAAUGGAAGGCCCUGUGCUUAGCAUUUACAUGAAUAUUUCUCUGAACCAUCACAAUUUAAUUUCAUAGCAUUAAUUAUAAUUUUAAGCAGAAGGUUUCAAGAUGUUGGUGACCAAGAUGUUAAAAUGUUUCUGUGCAACACAUUUCCCACAACCUGCUGUAAACUAAGUACUGUAUAAUUAUAGUGCUGAGCAUAUACUAGGUUAUUCUAGGAUGUCAAGGUCACACUUGCCCCGGAGAUUUCUGGCUCUGAACCUCAUGCACCUGUUUUGCGAUCUAUAAAGAGGAGUGUUUCCCCAUCUGUUUUGUCUCCCUCAUUUGAGUGAGCUGAGAAUCCAC
rnacentral:lncRNA from 1 species